rnacentral:rRNA from 1 species
CCUACGGGGGGCAGCAGUGAGGAAUAUUGGUCAAUGGACGCAAGUCUGAACCAGCCAUGCCGCGUGCAGGAAGACGGCUCGAUGAGUUGUAAACUGCUUUUGUACGAGGGUAAACGCAGAUACGCGGAUCUGUCUGAAAGUAUCGUACGAAUAAGGAUCGGCUAACUCCGUGCCAGCAGCCGCGGUAAUACGGAGGAUUCAAGCGUUAUCCGGAUUUAUUGGGUUUACCGGGUGCGUAGGCGGUCGGAUAAGUUAGAGGUGAAAUCCCGAGGCUCAACGUCGGAAUUGCCUCUGAUACUGUUCGGCUAGCGAGUAGUUGCGGUAGGCGGAAUGUAUGGUGUAGCGG